GUAUGUUAAACGAGAAGACUUUAGAUAUGAUCCAGAGUACCACGGGACACGUGAAACCCUGUGGGAAGCAGGAGGGACCACCCUCCAAGGCUAAAUACUACCUAGUGACCGAUAGCGUAUAGUACCGUGAGGGAAAGGUGAAAAGAACCCCGGGAGGGGAGUGAAAUAGAACCUGAAACCCUGCACUUACAAGCUGUGGAAGCACAUUUCUUGUGUGACCGCGUACUUUUUGUAGAACGGGCCAACGAGUUACGUUAAGUAG
rnacentral:rRNA from 1 species